CUACAGACUAAAUGUUUGUAUUUCCCCAAAAUUCUUAUGUUGCACCCUCCUCCCCAGUGUGAAGGCAUGAGGAGGAGGGGCCUUUGGGAGGUGAUCUGGUCAUGAGACCCCGGAGGGCUCCCUCGCCCCUUGCACCACGUGAGGAUACAGAGAGAAGGUGGCCGUCCAUGAGCCCGCAAGCCGCCUUCACUGGACAUUGAAUUCGCUGGUGCCUUGAGAUCUUGAACUUCCAGCUUCCAGAACUGUAAGAUAUAAAUACCUGUUUUUUUCUCUUUUUAUAAGCCACCCGGUCUGUGAUAUUCUGUUACAGGAGCCUGAACGGACUGAGGCAGAAGGUGUGAGGAUCCGGAACAAGGUGCGGUUCAGAGAUGACGAGUCUCUGACAGAAUGGAUCGGAUUCUAGCAUCAGUGGGCACCGGCCACUUGCCAGGGGCCAACGGCUCCCAGUGGAUCCCAGGAUGGGGGGCUGCCUGGAUUCCCUUCUUCCCAUGCCCUGGCCUGUGAACCAGUAAAACCCUGCUCUGUGGCAUUUGCUGGUUUCCAUGGCAUAAACACUUACGCUGUGGCUGCCUUUCGGCUCUGUGCACCGUGACGUCACUGACCGCGGAGCUCGGAAGAGAUGCACAGCGAGCUCUUAUGACGGGGAUGAGCUCAUCCCAGCCCACAAGUUGGAGCCCACGUUAAGCCCCAGAAGUCAGCUUGCAGACUCGCAGAGCAUCAGGACUCAAGAGGCAAGGGACGGCAGCAACAAGGGAAAACCGCCCUCAGGAAGGCAGCUCCGAGCCUGGGCUGGGCCUGUCUUCUCCCAGAGGCCUCCGCUUGGACAGCGACGAGUCCCGUCCUAAUCACGGAUUCUUGCAAGCACCCAGCUGCGGCAACCUGCUAUUUUUGCUCUGCGCCCUUGCUUGGGGUCCGUGUGUGUGAGCGUGUGUGUUCGUGCCUGUGGAGGCAGACUGAGACGUCUCCGCACACACAAACGGAUGUGUUUUUACUCCCUAUUAGCUGGUGACAAACUUGGAGCCCUCCCCAGGGAGCGGCGGUCCCUCCAGAGAGCCGCCUGUCUGUCUCCCAGAUUUACAGCUGGAGCCAGGCACUGAGUCAUGAUUCAUCCAGGGACUGGCCCCGGGCCAGCCUGCUUGUGGCCGUGAAGCGCCCGGUUUGCUCUUUUUCCUUCUCUUUCCUCUGCUUUUUCACGGAGCUGCACUUAGACACCGUCCCUCUGGGGAGCCCUUCCUGAGCCCAGACGCACUGUCUCCCAUGCCUUGUGCUUGCUCCCUCUGCCUCAACUCCUGUCACCCUGCAUUGGGCUUAUUGGCAUCAUGCCUGUGUCCCUCCCUGGACUGAGUGCUCCCUGAAGACAGGACCGUGGCUUUCUUUUCGGAGAGGAGCCCUGGGUCGCGGUGGGAGGGACCCCAGCACCCCUCCCUUCUCCCCGCCUCUCUCGGCCGGCCGUCCCAUUCAUCGUUAUCCUCACCUUCCCAGGAUUCAGGGUCCAGGCUUGUCGGGCUGGAGAAGAGGCCCGGGGGCCUUGUGCAUCUACCAGCUAGGCGUUUUGUUCUAGGCCACAGGAAUAGACUCGGGCUGCUAUAGGCGGGAAGGACAAUUUGUGGAAAGGGUAGCAGGUAUUCGCUGAAUUGUAGGAAGUGCCAAGAACGGGGUUCAGGCAGUAGGCAGGGGGCCCAGGAUCACAGCCCCUGGCCUGCCCUGGCCUGCCAGCCCCGGGGCGCUGGGCAGCUCUGUGGGCACGUUGGCCACGGCGCGCUGGGAAGCAGGAUGUU
rnacentral:lncRNA from 1 species